rnacentral:rRNA from 1 species
UACGAAGGGUGCAAACGUUGCUCGGAAUCAUUGGGCGUAAAGCGCACGUAGGCGGCUCCGCAAGUCGGAUGUGAAAUCCCUCGGCUCAACCGAGGACGUGCAUCCGAAACUGCAGAGCUUGAGUAUGGAAGAGGGUCGCGGAAUCCCCGGUGUAGAGGUGAAAUGCGCAGAUAUCAGGAGGAACACCGGUGGCGAAGGUGGGACUCUGGGCCGAUACUGACGCUGAGGAGCGAAAGCGUGGGGAGCGAACAGG